GGGGGCGAACAGGUUUCGACAGAGUUGGAACGGUUUUGUUGGCAUGCAGAGGGUCCAGGUGGCCUCUAAAAAACCUGGAAACCAAUAUCAGGCGAAGAGUCUUACUCUUACGCUCUUGCCGCGUAACUAACCCUUACGAGCAAGCGACGAAUGGGAUAUGUCUCCGGUCCCACAAGUCGAUAAUCAGGGGGCUGGGAUCUGCACAUGUUCGGGGUGCAAGUCCGAGAUUUACUGAACUGGUCUUCCUUGAAGCUCGUCGACAGGCGUCUUGGAAGAUGAGAUCAAAUUGCCGACUAAGCAUGUAGAAGGCAAGACAAUACUUUCUUUGGACGGGGGUUCGAUUCCCCCCGCCUCCAUAA
rnacentral:tmRNA from 1 species